rnacentral:rRNA from 1 species
UAGAGUUUGAUCCUGGCUCAGAUUGAACGCUGGCGGCAGGCCUAACACAUGCAAGUCGAGCGGAUGAGAAGAGCUUGCUCUUCGAUUCAGCGGCGGACGGGUGAGUAAUGCCUAGGAAUCUGCCUGGUAGUGGGGGGCAACGUUUCGAAAGGAACGCUAAUACCGCAUACGUCCUACGGGAGAAAGCAGGGGACCUUCGGGCCUUGCGCUAUCAGAUGAGCCUAGGUCGGAUUAGCUAGUUGGUGAGGUAAUGGCUCACCAAGGCGACGAUCCGUAACUGGUCUGAGAGGAUGAUCAGUCACACUGGAACUGAGACACGGUCCAGACUCCUACGGGAGGCAGCAGUGGGGAAUAUUGGACAAUGGGCGAAAGCCUGAUCCAGCCAUGCCGCGUGUGUGAAGAAGGUCUUCGGAUUGUAAAGCACUUUAAGUUGGGAGGAAGGGUUGUACGCUAAUACCGUGCAAUUUUGACGUUACCAACAGAAUAAGCACCGGCUAACUCUGUGCCAGCAGCCGCGGUAAUACAGAGGGUGCAAGCGUUAAUCGGAAUUACUGGGCGUAAAGCGCGCGUAGGUGGUUCGUUAAGUUGGAUGUGAAAGCCCCGGGCUCAACCUGGGAACUGCAUCCAAAACUGGCGAGCUAGAGUAGGGCAGAGGGUGGUGGAAUUUCCUGUGUAGCGGUGAAAUGCGUAGAUAUAUGGAGGAAUACCGGUGGCGAAGGCGGCCUCCUGGCUCGACACUGACGCUGAGGUGCGAAAGCGUGGGUAGCAAACAGGAUUAGAUACCCUGGUAGUCCACGCCGUAAACGAUGUCUACUAGCCGUUGGGGAACUUGAUUCUUUAGUGGCGCAGCUAACGCAAUAAGUAGACCGCCCGGGGAGUACGGCCGCAAGGUUAAAACUCAAAUGAAUUGACGGGGGCCCGCACAAGCGGUGGAGCAUGUGGUUUAAUUCGAUGCAACGCGAAGAACCUUACCAGGUCUUGACAUCCUGAGAACUUAGCAGAGAUGCUUUGGUGCCUUCGGGAACUCAGAGACAGGUGCUGCAUGGCUGUCGUCAGCUCGUGUUGUGAAAUGUUGGGUUAAGUCCCGUAACGAGCGCAACCCCUGUCCUUAGUUGCCAGCACGUAAUGGUGGGAACUCUAAGGAGACUGCCGGUGACAAACCGGAGGAAGGUGGGGACGACGUCAAGUCAUCAUGGCCCUUACGACCAGGGCUACACACGUGCUACAAUGGGAAGUACAAAGGGUUGCGAAGCGGCGACGUGGAGCCAAUCCCAUAAAACUUUUCGUAGUCCGGAUUGAAGUCUGCAACUCGACUUCAUGAAGUCGGAAUCGCUAGUAAUCGCGAAUCAGAAUGUCGCGGUGAAUACGUUCCCGGGCCUUGUACACACCGCCCGUCACACCAUGGGAGUGGGUUGCACCAGAAGUAGCUAGUCUAACCUUCGGGAGGACGGUUACCACGGUGUGAUUCAUGACUGGGGUGAAGUCGUAACAAGGUAACCA